UUCAAAAUUGUUUUUGGUUUUUCUAUGCAUUAGAUGAAUGCAGACUCAAGAAUAUAAACAAUGCAACACACACUUCCUGAGCUCUCCCCCAAACUUAAAUCACAUAGUCCACUGUGUGAAUAAACUUGGAAGAGAGUACUCAGGACAAAUCCAAUCACAGAAACAAAAUAAAGAACAAAUCAU
rnacentral:sRNA from 1 species